rnacentral:rRNA from 1 species
UACAGAGGGGGCAAGCGUUGUUCGGAAUUACUGGGCGUAAAGGGCGCGUAGGCGGCCUUCUAAGUCGAACGUGAAAUCCCCGGGCUCAACCCGGGAACUGCGUCCGAUACUGGAAGGCUUGAAUCCGGGAGAGGGAUGUGGAAUUCCAGGUGUAGCGGUGAAAUGCGUAGAUAUCUGGAGGAACACCGGUGGCGAAGGCGGCAUCCUGGACCGAUAUUGACGCUGAGGAGCGAAAGCCAGGGGAGCAAAGCGGG